UACGUAGGGUGCAAGCGUUUAUCCGGAAUUAUUGGGCGUAAAGAGCUCGUAGGCGGUUUGUCGCGUCUGCUGUGAAAACUGGAGGCUCAACCUCCAGCCUGCAGUGGGUACGGGCAGACUAGAGUGCGGUAGGGGGAGAUUUGGAAUUCCUGGUGUAGCGGUGGAAUGCGCAGAUAUCAGGAGGAACACCGAUGGCGAAGGCAGAUCUCUGGGCCGUAACUGACGCUGAGGAGCGAAAGCAUGGGGAGCGAACAGG
rnacentral:rRNA from 1 species